rnacentral:rRNA from 1 species
GACGAACGCUGGCGGCGUGCUUAACACAUGCAAGUCGAACGGAAAGGCCCUGCUUUUGUGGGGUGCUCGAGUGGCGAACGGGUGAGUAACACGUGAGUAACCUGCCCUUGACUUUGGGAUAACUUCAGGAAACUGGGGCUAAUACCGGAUAGGAGCUCCUGCUGCAUGGUGGGGGUUGGAAAGUUUCGGCGGUUGGGGAUGGACUCGCGGCUUAUCAGCUUGUUGGUGGGGUAGUGGCUUACCAAGGCUUUGACGGGUAGCCGGCCUGAGAGGGUGACCGGCGACAGUGGGACAGCAAGACGACCGAGAGGCCGGCGGGAGGAAGCAGGGGGGAAGAGGGCACAAUGGGCGGAAGCCGGAGGCAGCAACGCCGCGUGCGGGAGGACGGCCGUCGGGGGGGAAACCGCUGGCGCCGGUGACGAAGCGGGAGGGACGGUAAUGGGUAAAGAAGCACGGGCUAGCAACGUG